rnacentral:pre_miRNA from 1 species
GAUAUACUCCCUCCGUUUCAUAAUUCUUGUCUCAAAUUUGUCCAAAAAUGGAUGUAUCUAUUCCUAAAAGGUGUCUAGAUACAUGUAAGAUUUCGACAAAAAUUAUGAAACGGAGGAAGUAAUUA